UUGGCAAACCUGUCGAAAGGCAGUGACGCAAAGCUAUAGGGGCUUUCUGUAUUAACGGAUGCCAGCCAGUUGC
rnacentral:ncRNA from 1 species